rnacentral:rRNA from 1 species
CCUACGGGAGGCAGCAGUAGGGAAUUUUCGUCAAUGGGCGCAAGCCUGAACGAGCGAUGCCGCGUGAGUGAAGAAGGCCUUCGGGUCGUAAAGCUCUGUUGCGGGGGAAAAAAGGCAGCAUCAGGAAAUGGGUGCUGACUGAUGGUGCCCCGCCAGAAAGUCACGGCUAACUACGUGCCAGCAGCCGCGGUAAU